rnacentral:lncRNA from 1 species
UACUUUGUGUUUAUAGUUUUUUUUGAACUUUCUUUGAGGUAACCGGUAUUCAAGUACCUCAGAUCUGUACUUUGUGCUUAUAGUUUUUUAUGAACUUUCUUUGAGGUAACCGGUAACUCAGGGUACUCUUAGAUCUGUACUUUGUGUAUAUAGUUUUUUAUGAACUUUCUUUGAGGUAACCGGUAACUCAGAGUACUCUUAGAUCUGUACUUUGUGUAUAUAGUUUUUUAUGAACUUUCUUUGAGGUAAUUGGUAACUCAGAGUACUCUUAGAUCUG